rnacentral:lncRNA from 1 species
CAGCUGUCUUUUCUUCUCUUUGUCUUGUGUCUUUAUUUCUAUGAUCUCUCCUCUCCGCACACAGGGAGAAAGACCCACAGACCGUGUACGGCUAGUCUCUACAGUUUGCUAUUGUGCAUUGUGGAGAGGACUAGAGAGGGCAAGAGUCUGCCAUCUUAUCCAGGUCAGAAAUGGAGGAGUUAAGUUUUGGAAAUAAUUUUUAGUGUAAUACUUUUAUGAUCUGAAGGAGAAAGCAAAUAUUUUGCUUGGUCUGUAAGGCUAAUUACUUCUGGAUAAUGAAGUAAUGGUAAGCCUGGUAAAUUCCAUUGGUAUUAGUCAUUACCUGCUUUCUUUUACUCUGAGGUGAGUUCCAUUGCCAGGCGCAAUGUUGUUUGAGAUACCCUGAUUGGACAUCGUGGAUUUGCAGGAACAAGCAUGAUGUCAGGAAAAGAAAACUUCAGCUAGAAACAAUUUUUAUUCCAUUGAGGACUAGUUGCUCUCCUGCACAUGAUGACAGGAGUAAAAUAUAAUUGACUUGUCAGAAGGUAUUCAGUUGGUCCCAGAAGGUAUAGUAUCAUCUCAGGAGCUCAAGGUGGGUGGUGUGUUUCUGUUUUUGACUUUCAUAUGUUGAUUCUUUUCAUCCCUCACUAUAAUUUAAGGUAUCUUUCAAUAUUACAUCAUUUUUGUACAUUAUUUUUAAUAGUUUUAAAAUUAUUUGUGAAGUGGCCUAAA